rnacentral:rRNA from 1 species
UACGUAGGAUCCGAGCGUUAUCCGGAUUUACUGGGCGUAAAGAGUUGCGUAGGUGGCAUAGUAAGUUAAUAGUGAAAUCGUGUGGCUCAACCAUACUCACAUUAUUAAAACUACUAAGCUAGAGAAUGAGAGAGGUACCUGGAAUUCCAAGUGUAGGAGUGAAAUCCGUAGAUAUUUGGAGGAACACCGAUGGCGUAGGCAGGGUACUGGCUCAUUUCUGACACUAAGGCACGAAAGCGUGGGGAGCAAACGGG